GCGGCAACAGCUCAAAUUUGAAAUCUGGGUCCUGGCGGCCCCGAGUUGUAAUUUGCAGAGGAUGUUUCGGGUGCGGCACCGUUCUAAGUUCCUUGGAACAGGGCGUCAUAGAGGGUGAGAAUCCCGUCUGCGACCGGUGUCCAAUCCCAUGUGAAACUCCUUCGACGAGUCGAGUUGUUUGGGAAUGCAGCUCAAAAUGGGUGGUAUAUUUCAUCUAAAGCUAAAUACUGGCCAGAGACCGAUAGCGCACAAGUAGAGUGAUCGAAAGAUGAAAAGCACUUUGGAAAGAGAGUUAAAAAGUACGUGAAAUUGUUGAAAGGGAAGCGCUUACAGCCAGACUCGCCCGGGGGUGAUCAACUGUCCUUUUGGGCGGUGCACUUUCCCCCGGUCGGGCCAGCAUCGGUUCGGGCGGUUGGAUAAAAGCUUCGGGAAUGUGACUCCCCUCGGGGAGUGUUAUAGCCCGGAGUGCAAUGCAGCCAGUCUGGACCGAGGACCGCGCUUUUGCUAGGAUGCUGGCGUAAUGGCUGUCAGCGACCCGUCUUGAAACACGGACCAAGGAGUGGACAAAUUGUGCGAGUGUUUGGGUAUAAAACCCGUACGCGUAAUGAAAGUGAACGGAGGUGAGAGCCUUAGGGUGCAUCAUCGACCGAUCCUGAUGUCUUCGGAUGGAUUCGAGUAAGAGCACAAUUUUUCCGACCCGAAAGAUGGUGAGCUAUGCCUGGAUAGGGUGAAGCCAGAGGAAACUAUGGUGGAGGCUAGCAG
rnacentral:rRNA from 1 species